rnacentral:rRNA from 1 species
GAUGAACGCUGGCGGCGUGCCUAAUACAUGCAAGUCGAGCGAAUGGAUUAAGAGCUUGCUCUUAUGAAGUUAGCGGCGGACGGGUGAGUAACACGUGGGUAACCUGCCCAUAAGACUGGGAUAACUCCGGGAAACCGGGGCUAAUACCGGAUAAUAUUUUGAACUGCAUGGUUCAAAAUUGAAAGGCGGCUUCGGCUGUCACUUAUGGAUGGACCCGCGUCGCAUUAGCUAGUUGGUGAGGUAACGGCUCACCAAGGCAACGAUGCGUAGCCGACCUGAGAGAGUGAUCGACCACACGAGGACUGGGACACGGCCCAGACUCCUACGGGAGGCAGCAGUAGGGAAUCUUCCGCAACGGACGAAAGUCUGACGGAGCAACGCCGCGUGAGUGAUGAAGGCUUUCGGGUCGUAAAACUCUGUUGUUAGGGAAGAACAAGUGCUAGUUGAAUAAGCUGGCACCUUGACGGUACCUAACCAGAAAGCCACGGCUAACUACGUGCCAGCAGCCGCCGUAA